GACGAACGCUGGCGGCGUGCCUAAUACAUGCAAGUUGAGCGCUGAAGGUUGGUACUUGUACCAACUGGAUGAGCAGCGAACGGGUGAGUAACGCGUGGGGAAUCUGCCUUUGAGCGGGGGACAACAUUUGGAAACGAAUGCUAAUACCGCAUAAAAACUUUAAACACAAGUUUUAAGUUUGAAAGAUGCAAUUGCAUCACUCAAAGAUGAUCCCGCGUUGUAUUAGCUAGUUGGUGAGGUAAAGGCUCACCAAGGCGAUGAUACAUAGCCGACCUGAGAGGGUGAUCGGCCACAUUGGGACUGAGACACGGCCCAAACUCCUACGGGAGGCAGCAGUAGGGAAUCUUCGGCAAUGGACGAAAGUCUGACCGAGCAACGCCGCGUGAGUGAAGAAGGUUCUCGGAUCGUAGAACUCUGUUGGUAGAGAAGAACGUUGGUGAGAGUGGAAAGCUCAUAAAGUGACGGUAACUACCCAGAAAGGGACGGCUAACUACGUG
rnacentral:rRNA from 1 species